UUUUCCUACGGGGGGCAGCAGUGAGGAAUAUUGGUCAAUGGAUGAGAGUCUGAACCAGCCAAGUAGCGUGAAGGAUGACUGCCCUAUGGGUUGUAAACUUCUUUUAUAAAGGAAUAAAACGAGGCACGUGUGCCUUUUUGCAUGUACUUUAUGAAUAAGGAUCGGCUAACUCCGUGCCAGCAGCCGCGGUAAUACGGAGGAUGCGAGCGUUAUCCGGAUUUAUUGGGUUUAAAGGGUGCGCAGGCGGAAGAUCAAGUCAGCGGUAAAAUUGAGAGGCUCAACCUCUUCGAGCCGUUGAAACUGGU
rnacentral:rRNA from 1 species